UAGGGAAUCUUCCGCAAUGGGCGAAAGCCUGACGGAGCAACGCCGCGUGAGUGAUGAAGGUCUUCGGAUCGUAAAACUCUGUUAUUAGGGAAGAACAAAUGUGUAAGUAACUAUGCACGUCUUGACGGUACCUAAUCAGAAAGCCACGGCUAACUACGUGCCAGCAGCCGCGGUAAUACGUAGGUGGCAAGCGUUAUCCGGAAUUAUUGGGCGUAAAGCGCGCGUAGGCGGUUUUUUAAGUCUGAUGUGAAAGCCCACGGCUCAACCGUUGAGGGUCAUUGGAAACUGGAAAACUUGAGUGCAGAAGAGGAAAGUGGAAUUCCAUGUGUAGCGGUGAAAUGCGCAGAGAUAUGGAGGAACACCAGUGGCGAAGGCGACUUUCUAGUCUGUAACUGACGCUGAUGUGCGAAAGCGUGGGGAUCAAACAGG
rnacentral:rRNA from 1 species